rnacentral:rRNA from 1 species
CGUAGAACGUGUAACGCUGGCGGCGUGCUUAACACAUGCAAGUCGAACGAUGAUCCCAGCUUGCUGGGGGAUUAGUGGCGAACGGGUGAGUAACACGUGAGUAACCUGCCCUUGACUCUGGGAUAAGCCUGGGAAACCGGGUCUAAUACUGGAUAUGACCUUCUGGCGCAUGCCAUGUUGGUGGAAAGCUUUAUUGCGGUUUUGGAUGGACUCGCGGCCUAUCAGCUUGUUGGUGGGGUAAUGGCCUACCAAGGCGACGACGGGUAGCCGGCCUGAGAGGGUGGACGGCCACACUGGGACUGAGACACGGCCCAGACUCCUACGGGAGGCAGCAGUGGGGAAUAUUGCACAAUGGGCGCAAGCCUGAUGCAGCGACGCCGCGUGGGGGAUGAAGGCCUUCGGGUUGUAAACCUCUUUCAGUAGGGAAGAAGCGAAAGUGACGGUACCUGCAGAAGAAGCGCCGGCUAACUACGUGCCAGCAGCCGCGGUAAUACGUAGGGCGCAAGCGUUAUCCGGAAUUAUUGGGCGUAAAGAGCUCGUAGGCGGUUUGUCGCGUCUGCCGUGAAAGUCCGGGGCUUAACUCCGGAUCUGCGGUGGGUACGGGC